UGUCACGUAAUUGGUAACUAUGUUAAAUACACUUUUGUUAGGUCCACGUAAUUUUCGAAUCUGCUCAUCACUACGUUAGAUGGCGUUAUUUCUUUAAAAUACCUUAAAAAUCUUCAAUUCAAAGUUUUUGUUUCGAAUCAUCAAAAUAUUGGCAUAUGAUAUAAAUAUACGAUUCUAAUAAACCAAAAGUAUGUGGAAAAAUUGCGCAUACUUAGGCAUCAUAAAAACUUAAUUCACACCAACCAUUUACUUCGAUAUUUUUUAGUGUAUGGCAGAAAAAUAAAUUACGAAUUGUCUUAGAUAAAUAAAGUUACCGGACCUUUAUUACUUAAUCCAUAAACAAUUAUUGUUUCAUUCGAUUUAACACCACAAUAAAAAACAAAGCUUUUUCUAUUUAUUUUCGAAAAACGUUUUACAGGAAACCGAGUUCUUUUGUAGCAUUUUAGUUAGAGUUAUAGAAAAAUCUAUAACUCUUAUUUUGUUAAGUAAAAAAAAAAUCUUAUGCUCUUCUAAUUUUAGUCACCAAUAACAACUAUGUUAGGAAUAGUAGAAAAUGUUAUGUGUAAUAGAGAAACUGUUUUAGUGUGGUGUUGUAGGAGUACUGCGGGUCUAAGAAACUUUGUUUUCAUCGAUAAAUUAUUCUAUUGGUCUAUUAAAACAGUAUGAAAACUUUCCAGUAUUUAUAUUUGAUGUCUUUUUUUCAUUUUAUUUUAUAAUUGUAAUUUAAGUUUCAAAAAGCAGCAAAAACAACUUGAAAAGAACUAUCGCACAAUGACUCGCUUAAACACAGGAUUCCAAUUUCCUGAUAUACAUGGAAAUGCUGAUAUUGCUUUCACUAUAUUGUCUCUUUGUAAUGUGUAACAUCAUUUUUACUUAGGUUUGCCAAAUGACCGGCUUUUACAGAGUAGAAUAUAGUCCCAAACAUAUACAGUUCAGUUCUUUUACUGCUUUCUUCUUCAUAAAAGCCGGACGUCUUGCAACCCUUGAAUUUCCCCUUCUUUUUGUUUGCAUAAAUUACAUAAUUCUCUUAAUUAUAAAUACUCCAAAUCCGAUUUUCGAACAGCGUAUUUUAAAAUCUAAAGAAAUAUAAGCAAUUAAAGAUUACAUUUUGCAAGCCAACUGGAUGCUUAAACAACUCAAAAGACAGCCACGCGCUCAUUAUAGCUCUCUUAUAGUUUUAGAAUCUGAAAAUGAACACACAAGAAAAUUUAAACGACGAUGAUGGUGACUUUUUUAGAAAAAAAUUAGAAGAUUUACAAAAGUCCAUAGUUUUGGACUUUGUACUUUUUGGUCAAUUUUUUUAGAUAUCAUUUUAAACUACAUUUGUAAGUAACUAUAUUAUGUUUUAUGUCUCAUAAAAGUUUUAAUAAAUAAUAUAAUGUAAUCACUUAUAUAGUGACAAAUCCAACUUCCUCAGUAACGUAUGUUGUUGUACUCACUUAUACUUGACUUAAUUUAUGGAUUAAUUGGUUUUAUUGCAUUUUUAAUUUUCUUUUAUUUAUCUCUAGCUGCUGCUUCUUCUGUUACAAGCUCGAAGUCAUGGGAAGAAUUCAGAAAGUAUCGCUCCCAGCAUCCAGGCCCUCUAUCUAUGAGGGCCUUCCAUCGCUGGUGUUUGUAUGGGGACGACCAUCCCUCCUUUAGAUGGAGGGAUGGCACCCCAUACAACACGGGGAAUAGAGCGGAUGCUGGGAGGAGAAGACAACGUGGCGCA
rnacentral:misc_RNA from 1 species